AGGGAAUCUUCCGCAAUGGACGAAAGUCUGACGGAGCAACGCCGCGCGAGUGAUGAAGGUUUUCGGAUCGUAAAGCUCUGUUGCCAGGGAAGAACGUCUUCUGGAGUAACUGCCAGGAGAGUGACGGUACCUGAGAAGAAAGCCCCGGCUAACUACGUGCCAGCAGCCGCGGUAAUACGUAGGGGGCAAGCGUUGUCCGGAAUUAUUGGGCGUAAAGCGCGCGCAGGCGGCUGUUUAAGUCUGGUGGUUAAUCCUGGGGCUCAACCCCGGGUCGCACUGGAAACUGGACGGCUUGAGUGCAGAAGAGGAGAGUGGAAUUCCACGUGGAGCGGUGAAAUGCGUAGAGAUGUGGAGGAACACCAGUGGCGAAGGCGACUCUCUGGGCUGUAACUGACGCUGAGGCGCGAAAGCGUGGGGAGCAAAC
rnacentral:rRNA from 1 species